AUGGACGCUAGCGGUGCGCCUAACACAUGCAAGUCGAACGGAUAUAGAGGGCUUGCUCUCUAUAUUAGUGGCAAACGGGUGAGUAACAAGUUUGUACCUACCCCAAAGUGAGGGAUAGCCCAUCGAAAGAUGGAUUAAUACCGCAUAGUCCCGCAAGGGUAAAGCCGCAAGGCGCUUUGGGAGGGGCAUGCUUUCUAUCAGCUAGUUGGUGAGGUAAUAGCUCACCAAGGCUAUGACGGAUAGUUGGUCUGAGAGGACGACCAGCCACAAUGGAACUGAGACACGGUCCAUACUCCUACGGGAGGCAGCAGUGAGGAAUCUUCCGCAAUGGGCGAAAGCCUGACGGAGCGACACCGCGUGGAGGAUGACGCGUUUACUCGUGUAAACUCCUUUUCUGUGGGAAGAUAAUGACGGUACCACAGGAAUAAGGGGCGGCAAACUACGU
rnacentral:rRNA from 1 species